rnacentral:rRNA from 1 species
UUGCCUCCGGGGGGCAGCAGUGGGGAAUAUUGCACAAUGGGGGAAACCCUGAUGCAGCGACGCCGCGUGAGUGAAGAAGCGCCUCGGCGCGUAAAGCUCUGUCAGCAGGAACGAUAAUGACGGUACCUGAAGAAGAAGCCCCGGCUAACUACGUGCCAGCAGCCGCGGUAAUACGUAGGGGGCAAGCGUUAUCCGGAUUUACUGGGUGUAAAGGGAGCGUAGACGGCGGGGCAAGUCUGGAGUGAAAGGCCGGGGCCCAACCCCGGGACCGCUCUGGAAACUGCCCGGCUGGAGUGCGGGAGAGG